UGAAUUGGACCCAAGGGCUCGCCGUCCAGAGAGUACUACAUAAAUUUGAGUCCAUCACUGUUUCGCGACUACAAUUCCCAGAGUUCCCGCGGCAGGGCUCCUGCUUUUGUGUUCAGAAAUUCAAACCGAGUAUUCCGUCUACUGCAAGUCUUCCAGGUCUAAUAAAACAACCUCGUAAUCCUUCAUCCGCGUCUGUAUAUAUUAUAUGUUGGGAAUAGUACCCUCCCACCCAUUUCUACCUUCAUUUUAAUUACCCUUCCCAUUGUCCCCCUUUGUCCCCAAGACAGCUGCACCUCUACUUUCAUGACGUGUAUCAUUCAUGAUUUUAUGAGAUUAUGUAAGACCUAGGAAGCACAAACAAGAGAAAAUAUAUUCAUCUUUCUGA